GUGGGGCUGUAGCUCAGUGGUAGAGCAAUUACCUAGCACAUGUGAGGCACUGGGUUCGAUCCUCAGCACCACA
rnacentral:tRNA from 1 species